GAUUAACGCUAGCGGCAGGCCUAAUACAUGCAAGUCGAACGGCAGCACGGGUAGUAAUACCUGGUGGCGAGUGGCGCACGGGUGAGUAACACGUAUGCAAUCUACCUUUAACUGGGGAAUAACCCUUCGAAAGAAGGGCUAAUACCGCAUAACACUGCGAUGGGGAUUCCCAAUGCAGUUAAACCUGAGGGGGUUAAAGAUGAGCAUGCGUCCGAUUAGUUAGUUGGCGAGGUAAUGGCUCACCAAGACUUCGAUCGGUAGGGGUCUGAGAGGAUGAUCCCCCACACUGGUACUGAGACACGGACCAGACUCCUACGGGAGGCAGCAGUAAGGAAUAUUGGACAAUGGCC
rnacentral:rRNA from 1 species